GUUCCCAUGUGCUCAGUUUGUAGAGCGUGGUGUUUGCAACGCCAGGGUUGUGGGUUCGAUACCCACGGGGGACC
rnacentral:tRNA from 1 species